UAGGGAAUCUUCGGCAAUGGACGAAAGUCUGACCGAGCAACGCCGCGUGAGUGAAGAAGGUUUUCGGAUCGUAAAACUCUGUUGUUAGAGAAGAACAAGGACGUUAGUAACUGAACGUCCCCUGACGGUAUCUAACCAGAAAGCCACGGCUAACUACGUGCCAGCAGCCGCGGUAAUACGUAGGUGGCAAGCGUUGUCCGGAUUUAUUGGGCGUAAAGCGAGCGCAGGCGGUUUCUUAAGUCUGAUGUGUAAGCCCCCGGCUCAACCGGGGAGGGUCAUUGGAAACUGGGAGACUUGACUGCAGAAGAGGAGAGUGGAAUUCCAUGUGUAGCUGUGAAAUGCGUAGAUAUAUGGAGGAACACCAGUGGCGAAGGCGGCUCUCUGGUCUGUAACUGACGCUGAGGCUCGAAAGCGUGGGGAGCAAACAGG
rnacentral:rRNA from 1 species